rnacentral:lncRNA from 1 species
UUGUGCCAGGCUUAGCGCUUCUCAUGCGCUAAGCCAACCACCUUCUCACCCUCAAGCUUAGCGCGCCUCUGUGCUAAGCCUAAUUACUUCUCUGUUUAGCGCAACUGAUGCAAUCCUCCUGCAUAAUUCAAUUGACAUUUAUUGUUUUUAAUGUUGUCCGUUGUGCCAGGCUUAGCGCUUCUCAUGCGCUAAGCCAACCACCUUCUCACCCUCAAGCUUAGCGCGCCUCUGUGCUAAGCCUAAUUACUUUUCAAUUGUCACUGUGUAGUCUUAGCAUGCUCUGUCAUGCUAAGCCCCCCUGCAUAAUUCAAUUGACAUUUAUUGUUUUUAAUGUUGUCCGUUGUGCCAGGCUUAGCGCUUCUCAUGCGCUAAGCCAACCACCUUCUCACCCUCAAGCUUAGCGCGCCUCUGUGCUAAGCCUAAUUACUU